AUGAAAAAGGGAAAUUUGGACACAGAAAACACACAGGAUGAAUGCCAGAUGGAAACAGAGGUAAGGGUGGUGCUUCUACAAGUUCAUGAGCAUAAUGACUGGGUGUUCAUGUGCAUGUGUGAGAUGUGCCACCCUCAAACCUUGUUACGACAUCAGCACAUUACCCGUACACAGCGGGGCACAGUGGUUGCAGAGCCUGAGCACACCAAAGAAUGCAUCGGAUUUCAAGGGUCAAAGUGCAAGGGGGCAGCUUUUGAUUUUGGGGGCAAUGAACUAGGACUUGAUGGGCCAAAAGGAAGUGUCUAAACAGCAAGCUGCUUACCGCAAUCUCCAUCAGAAUUUGUGGGGUGGAUAGCGGUCUGGGGUUUUGUGCUGCACACAGUACCCUCAUCACCAAACAAAGGAAGAUGUGGAGCUGGGGUCAGAAUGAGAAGGAGCAGCUGGGACCCGGCAACACCAAGAGAAUGGAGGCCCCCAGACUCACUGAGGAUCUCUACCAGGAAGUGAGUGUGUAGGCAGCCUGUGGGCGGAACCUCACCUUGGCCUUGAUGGAAACAGGCUCUGCGUUUGCAUUUGGGGAGAACAAGAUGGGGCAGCUGAGCCUCCGCAGCCACACAGAAGCAUCCCCAGCCCCAAGCAGAUCAUGGACAACGGGCAAUUACCAGAAUGGCCAGUAGAAAUGAAUUCAGUACAAUGGGCGGCAAAGAAAACCUACUCGAUAUGCUCAGCUUGGACCCAGGCACAGUGAAUAGUGUAAGACUGCAGGCUGGUGCCGGUGCCCUGGCGAGUUUCAUUCUGCACUGAGAGUGAAAGAUGGGCAGAUGCUGCCUGUACCAAAGGUGGUUGUUUGUGAUGUGGCCUGUGAUGCUAACCACACAUUGAUUCUGGACUCCGAGUCAUGAGUCUUCUCCUGGGGCUUUGGUGGCUAUGGUUGGCUGGGCCACUCAGAGCAGAAGGAUGAGAUGGUCCCCGCUUGGUAAAGUUGGAGUUUGACUUCCUUGGGUGUGAGGCCUCCCAGAUCCAUGUUGGUUACACCUGAUCCUUUGCUGUCUGUGAAAUUGGUGUCUCGUUUUCUGGGGAGCCCAAUAUCUCCCAUGAAUCCACCAUGUACCUGAAAGCAGUGCAGGACCUCUGUGGCUGGAAAAUCCUAAGCCUGGCUUAUCGGAAGAGCAGCAGCGUUGUGGCCGCCAAUGAAGGUACCAUCAGCUGGGUGCCAUCAUCAACCUUUAAGUAAUUGGGCUACAGGGGCCACGAGCCCAAGUCUUCCACUGCAGCCCGAGGUGAAGACUCUGGAUGGCAUCUCUUCAAAGCAGGUCGCCAUAGGCUACUCCUCGGUGAUAGCGAGGGAUGAAAGUGAGACCAAGAAAGAGAAGAUCAAGAAACUGCUAGACUACAGCCCCUGAACCCUGGGAUGCUCCUGA